rnacentral:tRNA from 1 species
CGGGCUAUGGCGCAGCUUGGUAGCGCGCUUCGUUCGGGACGAAGAGGCCGCGAGUUCAAAUCUCGCUAGCCCGA